GACGAACGCUGGCGGCGUGCUUAACACAUGCAAGUCGAACGGAAAGGCCCUGCUUUUGUGGGGUUCUCGAGUGGCGAACGGGUGAGUAACACGUGAGUAACCUGCCCUUGACUUUGGGAUAACUUCAGGAAACUGGGGCUAAUACCGGAUAGGAUCUCCUGCUGCAUGGUGGGGGUUGGAAAGUUUCGGCGGUUGGGGAUGGACUCGCGGCUUAUCAGCUUGUUGGUGGGGUAGUGGUUUACCAAGGCUUUGACGGGUAGCCGGCCUGAGAGGGUGACCGGCGACAUGGGGACUAAGAGACGCAGCAGACGCCUACGGGAGGCAGCGGUGGGGAAUAUUGCACAAUGGGCGGAAGCCUGAUGCAGCAACGCCGGGUGCGGGAUGACGGCCUUCGGGUUGUAAACCGCUUUCGCCUGUGACGAAGAGUGAGUGACGGUAAUGGGUAAAGAAGCACCGGCUAACUACGUG
rnacentral:rRNA from 1 species